GGUGGGAGCGAGCCUGCUCGCGAUAGCGCCGGGUCAGCCACUUCAAUAUCAACUGACAGACCGCCAUCGCGAGCAGGCUCGCUCCCACA
rnacentral:misc_RNA from 1 species